rnacentral:sRNA from 1 species
AGCUCUCCUUCUCCCACCCCAAAUUCUGUUUUAAGUCUGAUGACUAUGAACCAUAAUUGAUAGUUUCAAAAUUCAAGUCAUAUUUAUACAAAGGCAAAAUUGGGGAAUGAUUAUAUUUUCUAAAGUAUCUGUGUUUCAAAACCAGUUAACUUAUAUAAAGCGCUGAAAAUACAGUGCUUAGGGAUGCUAGAGAGAUAGGAAAUGGAUUGGAAGAGUUGAUGGGGCCUUCUUGGAGAAGGCAGAUCUUGAGCAAAACAUGAGGGGAAGGAGGACUGGUGGUUUUACAAGGAGAAGUGGGAGGUGUCAGAUCGAGAGGCAGCAUCUUCAUCAGGAAUUGCAGAAACUCAAGUCAGAGGACUUGGGUGCCGGCCAUUUCUGCUGUCUGUUUCUGGCAUAGGUCUUGCACACACUCUCACCUCUGCCUAGACCACACUUCUUCACCUAUUUACAGAUAUUCAUCCAUCGUACUUCAGAGUUCAACAUGGGGACGCUUCUCAGAACACCAUGUCAAAUGACCUCUGUUUAAUGCUUUUAUAGCACCAUGUAUAUCCCCGCUUUGUAACACUCAUCACUGGUUGCAGUUUUAUAUUUAUAGAUCUGAUUAUUUGAUGAAUAUGCUUUCUCCCUGACUGAAAGCUAUGUGAGGGCAAGGAGUGGGACACUUUUUACUUGUUAUAGUCCCUCUAACUGGCACACAAUUUAUGGUCAUUAAAUACUGGUAUUUGCUAAAUGAACCCUGGUAAUUUGGUUAGAGUCCAGCCUCCUCACGAGUCCAGCCUCCUCACUCUCUGUUUAGUGCUGCAGGUGGAAGGUGACCUGAGCCUUGGAAAGUGUCAGACUCUUCCUUUUAAACCCCUUUCUACAGAGGAAGAAUUCUCCUGCUUGUGGCAGGAAUGUGGCUUUUGUUCUCUGGACAGUUCUGCUGACCUCAUCCGCCAUGUCUACUUCCACUGCUACCACACCAAGCUGAAACAGUGGGGGCUGCAGGCCUUGCAAAGCCAGGCUGACCUUGGCCCCUGCAUCCUGGACUUCCAGAGCCGGAACGUCAUCCCUGAUAUCCCUGACCACUUCCUGUGUCUGUGGGAGCACUGUGAGAAUUCCUUCGACAAUCCUGAGUGGUUUUAUCGGCAUGUGGAAGCACACAGUCUGUGCUGUGAAUACGAAGCAGUCGGCAAGGACAACCCGGUGGUGCUGUGUGGCUGGAAAGGCUGUACCUGCACCUUCAAGGACCGCAGUAAACUUCGAGAGCACCUCCGCAGCCAUACCCAGGAGAAAGUGGUAGCCUGCCCCACCUGUGGGGGCAUGUUUGCCAACAAUACCAAGUUCUUAGAUCACAUCCGUCGCCAGACCUCAUUGGAUCAGCAGCACUUCCAGUGUUCUCACUGUUCCAAGAGAUUUGCCACAGAGCGGCUAUUGCGGGACCACAUGCGCAACCAUGUGAAUCACUAUAAGUGCCCUCUGUGUGACAUGACCUGCCCGCUGCCUUCCUCCCUCCGCAACCACAUGCGCUUUCGUCACAGUGAGGACCGGCCCUUUAAAUGUGACUGUUGUGACUACAGCUGCAAGAAUCUUAUUGACCUCCAGAAGCACCUGGAUACCCACAGCGAGGAGCCAGCCUACAGGUGUGAUUUUGAAAACUGCACCUUCAGUGCCCGAUCCCUCUGCUCUAUCAAGUCCCAUUACCGCAAAGUACAUGAAGGAGACUCUGAGCCAAGGUACAAAUGUCAUGUGUGUGACAAAUGCUUCACACGGGGCAACAACCUCACCGUGCACCUUC